ACAACGGCUAGCUUAUGCACGUCUCUGUAAAAUAUCAUCAGUAACAAUAGGAGACUCAAAUGUAUUUCAUAUUAGCUUAGAACUAACCUUUGCGUCUCAUUAUCAAUCCGAUAAAAGCCUCUCUUGCUAGGAAGUCGUCUUUUCUUCAUGGCAACAAAGCUGUCUUUAUUCACCUGUGCUUUCUGACAGGACCUUCAGUUUUCAUGCAGGAUAUAUGUGUCUGCCUUCAUAUAACCACACCUAUUCUCUCCCUACCUGUAAAAGUUGCUUCAAAACAGCUUUUUAGCCGACUUCAACGCCUUAUGCAGAGAAUCGGGUUUCCUGAUUACCAUAGUUAACCGAGUGACGUUUUCCAGCAUUGUGGGCAUUCUGAUCAUGCUUCAGGUGCAGGAGCAGUGUCAUAAACAAGCAAUCUGGAAAGUCAUGUUAAGCAACCAGUAGGAUGAUUGAUAGGUCUCGUGCAUACAAAACACGCACAAACUGGCUUUGGCAGUCAGACUGAAUGGAUGAUACAGUGGAAGGAGAAGCAGGGAACUUCCGCCGCUCACGGAACAAAGUGUCUAGUGACUCUAAUCUUAUGACACCUUCAUGGCGCACAACUGCCUUCUGGCUUAAAAGACUUUUGACGUGUGCUGCUGACACGGACAGGCAGAGGACAGAUGCACAGAUAUGUCCCUGGCACAUUUCAGUCAUUUUUAUCACUGCAUUUUCCAGUAUCACGGCAAGUUAAAAAAAGAGAUCAACACUGCGGCCAGAGAUUUUGAAUGUUGCAAUAACUUCCCAUAUGUUAGCUCAGUCAUCUGUACAACAAUCCAGUGAGGUAGGUGCAGUUGUGUAAGUUUAAACAACAACCAUGGCACUUUUACAUACUGUACAUGCAGUCUUUUCCUCCCUUUUUUUCCUAGAGAAAAGGGUCUCACGGAUUCGGAAGCUGCCUUUUAAUGAGUCAGACCCUUGGUUCAUCUUGUCCAGUGUACACAAAGUGGCAAGGGCUGUCCAGGGUUUUGGGCAGAGAGUAUUCUUAGCUGUACCUGGAGAGGCCAGGAAUUGAAGGUGGGAUCAUCUUCAUUCAAAGCAGGUGCUCUGCUACUUGGGUCAUGACAAUUCAUGUGAAAAUUGGGGGGGGGUAGAUUUUUAGUUUCAUUUAGGUAACCUUCUCUGCAAUGUGAAAAGGCUUGUCAGCCUGGCAAGUAUUCUCUCUCUCUCUCUCUCCCUCUCUCAUCUAUUUCUUCUUCUUCUUCUUCUUCUUCUUCUUCUUCUUCUUCUUCUUCUUCUUCGUCUUCUUCUUCUUCUUCUUCUUCUUCUUCUUCUUCUUCUUCUUCUUCUUCUUCUUCUUCUUCUUCGUCUUCUUCUUCUUCGUCUUCUUCUUCUUCUUCUUCUUCUCAUCUGUCUCAGGAGACAAUGGAGGAGUGUCCCUUUGGGGGUGAAGUCAAUCUGUUGGAAGGUUCUCUCCAUCAUUAUAGACAUCAUCAUCAUCAUUUUAAUUAUUUAUAUUCCACCUUUCAGGACAACUCCUUACAAGUAGCUUACAGCUUUCAAAAUAUAUAACAUCAUGUAAAACAAAAUAGAAAACAGCACCGAUACAAUCUCUUCUUAAAACUUUCUCGGUCUCAGGUGACGACAAAUGGGACUUCUUUCUUGCCUCCAACACACAAUGCUUUUCCAGUGGUUCAGUGGUUCAGCUGGCAACCACUGAAUAUUGAGACUGGCAAGAACUGACUGGCAAUAAAUAAAUAAAUACAUAAAUAAAUAAAUAAAUAAAUAAGUACAUGUGUGAACCUGGCAACCUGCCCUUUUAGGACCGUGGAUCCAUUAGAUGACUUUUUUUUUUAGGACUGGUGCCAAUGGCUUGAGGCACAUAGCAGCCGUGGGAGAGGUUGGGACCAUAGUAAGGGCAAAUGAUUAAAAAAAACACCCGUCCAGCCUCCCUCCAGGUAUGGUUCUGAUCAGACUUCCCCACUUACUUUAGAUCAGCUUCCCCCAAUUAAGGGUCUUACAUUUGUUGCAGAACACCAGCUCUUAUCAGCUCCUGUUUGCAUGGCCAAAAUGAUCAGCGAUUAUGGGAGUCGUGGGACAACAACAUCUAGGAGGUAACAGGUAUGGGAAUGCUAUUCUGAAGAAUAAAUCACACAAAUGCUAAUAAUCACAAAGAGCACCAUGUGUUGCGCAGCUCUGAAUGUGAAAGGACUCUAAUGUUUGGGGAGUCUAUCUAGAGCGGAACAAAGGAGCUGAGAGGUUGCUCCAGUAGUCCUUGUGACACCUUGUGGCUGAAAAAAAUAUAGAUUGAGGAUGGAAAAUUGUUUUUCUUUUACACAACAGCCUCUCCUUUUAGUUGACUUAAAAAAAAUAAAUAAAAGAAUGACUUAUUCCCUUUGAUUGCCUGGGGACAAUCACUUGAAGUGCACGUUCCAUUUUAAAGGUAGAUUUGUCGAGUCUGUCGGUUGCCCUGGCAGGUGUCAAAAGGUCAGGUGUCCACGCUGAUUCCUUUAGAAGCAUCAAAGUAAUCUUUGAUACCAUGGGGACAGCCAAGUGCAUGAUUCAUAAUUAAUACAUUUUCUCAAGGAACUGAGCUGUUCCUGCUUAUGAGCUGAUUUCUGAGUGAUCUGGGCUUGUAUCACAUUCAUAAUCUCCUCCCAGGCCUUUGGCCAAUUAAACAACCAAUGUCCUUUUAAACUGGGUGUGUUUUGUUUGUUACUAUGGGCUAACACUCACCUUUUUGCCCUGCUCUUUCAAGGCAGAUGUCUGCGCUUUAACACUCCAUCUCUCUCUCUCUCUCUCUCUCUCUCUCUCUCUCUCUCUCUCUCUCUGUGUGUGUGCCACAAGCUUCCCCCACAAAAAUCCACUCUUUAAAGAUGAAUCGGAGCAAAGACAAUUUCCCACGGAUUGCUGUUUGCUCCAAUUGAGUUUUAAAGAGCAGCUUUUCGUGAGGAAAGCUCCAGACUGCAGUGUUUCCCAAACUUGGGUCUCCAGCUGUUUUUGGACUACAACUGCCAUAAUCCAGCAAGACCACUGGUCAGGGAUGAUGGAAAUUGUAGUCUGAAAGCAGGUGGAGACUCAAGUUUGGGAAACACUGCUCCAGAGCAAAACAGGAUGCUCAUACGCAGAGCUUUAAUUUGUGGACCAUGCCUAGACAGAGUGGAGGAAAGUUUAGUAAAAACACUUCAUGUACCAGUUGGUCUUCAUCUGCUGUUUCCUUUCGAGAGCUAUGAGCCGUUUCUGCUGUUCUCUUGACGCAUGAUCUUUUACAUGCUCCUCCGCCACUCAAACUUGGCACCAAAGCUGUGGGAAACCUACACAAGUGUGUCUGACCUCGUACUCUUGUGGAAAGCUCAUAAAUGGAUUCUGGUGCUAUGAUUAACAUCUGGAGGGCUGCCAUAAAUCAAACUGUAUGUACUUAAGAAGGCUGGGCUAGUCUAAUGGGAAACAAUGUGCAGGAGCGAUGAAAAAAAUUAACCCGGGGCAGUGCAGAUCAAUGCAAUCAUAUGAUGCAUCCCUUAAUGUUCUGAUCAGUGCCACUACGAUAAGGAUCACAGGAACUAUCCAAAUCUCUCUCUCUUAAAAAAACCACCAUGGUCCCAAAGAUAUCUGACCGAAGCCUCUUGGGUUUUUAAAGGCUAAUUGGCUGCAAAGAUUGAAUUGUUUUUGGCUGGUGAACAUGCUCUCCAUUGGGUAGAAUAAACUCUGCUCUUUAUAGGAUAUUUUCAGCUGAAAACGUUUUUUUAAUUUUUUUGCUGCUUCUCAGAUAUUUGCUGAUGGUUUGAAUAUUUGCUAAAGGGUCUCUGAAAUUGAUUAAUGACUACGUUUAAUUUUAAGAUUCAUUUUUUAUGUUUGUUUUAAGUUCUUUUCAUUAGUUUGCCAAAUGAAAUAUAGGUAUGCGUUUCAAGCACAUUCUCUGUCUAUUCCACUGCGGUAGGCUAAAUGCAAUCAUUGGGUUGUAGCCAACCAUGUCAUCCCAUUAGCACAAUAACUUCAAUCAAUACAAUUUUUCCUGUAUCACUAUCUCCCAAGCUCAGAGCAACCAGCUGUUUAUCAUGGGAAUGCCCAGACUUUAAUAUCUGCAUGCUGCCUUAAUUCUUGGCAAUGCUGAAUUAAACUGGUUACUAAUUCUACAUCUAUAUAAUAGGUAUCGCUGAACCCAGCCUCCUCAUACUGUGAAUAGUGGGACAACUUUGGAUCCAGCAAUGGAUGAGGUACAGGCAACAGACAUGUGUACAAAUUUUGUUCAGCCAGGUCAGUGUGGAGGCACAGCUCUGGUUGUUAGAAAGCAGAGGUGGGGAAAAUUGUCACCUUCCAAACAAUACAACUCCCAUCAUCCAUGUCUAUUGGCCCUGAUGGGAGGGACUGGUGGGAUAUGGAGUCCAACAACAUCUGGAGGGCCACGGGUUCCCCAUUCCUCCUCUAGACCAAACCUUCAGGGCCACUAGGUCCAGAGUGGCAAGGGAUGGAGUCUAUUUUGAACUUGCCUGCCUCGCUAACCCAAAACUAAUAGUCAGGGGAGGGUGGAGGGACCUGGUGAGGCCUCCCUUGAGGGUGAGAAGCAGUGAGGAACCAGGAUUUGCUGGGUCACCUCAUCUUGGGACAUACUGGUAGAUGCUGAGCACAAUUCAAAGGGUUGGUGCUGACCUUUAAAGUCCUAAAUGGCCUCAGCCCAGUAUACCUGAAGUAGCAUCUCUAACCCCAUCAUUCAGCCCAGACACUGAGGUCCAGCUCCGAGGGCCUUCUGGCGGUUCCAUCACUGUGAGAAGUGAGGUUACAGGGAACAAGGCAGAGGGCCUUCUCGGCAGUGGCGCCCACCCUGUGGAAUCCCCUCCCAUCAGAUGUAAAGGAAAUAAACAACUAUCUGACUUUUAGAAGACAUCUGAAGGAAGCCCUGUUUAGCGAAGUUUUUAAUGUUUGAUGUUUUAUUGUGUUUUCAGUGUUCUGUUGGGAGCCAACCAGAGUGCCUGGGGAAACCCAGCCAGAAGGGUGGGGUAUUAUAAUUUAUUAUUAUUAUUAUUAUUAUUAUUAUUAUUAUCAUCAUCAUUAUUAUUAUCAUUAUUAUAGAUGUGGAGCAUUGACACCUGCAGCCUCAGCCUAGGGAGCUACCUGCACUGGUGGAGGUUUAGUUCAAGUUAAGGCACUUGAAUAUUCUGUUGGACUUGUAUACCCAUUCACCUUGGAGUGAGGUCCAUUGAAGACAGCAGGGCUUCUUUCUGAGUAGACACUUUUUUUUUUUAGAAGAAGAGUUUGGAUAUGAUAUCCCGCUUUAUCACUAUCCUAAGGAGUCUCAAAGCGGCUAACAUUCUCCUUUCCCUUCUUCCCCCACAACAAACACUUUGUGAGGUGAGUGAGGCUGAGAGACUUCAAAGAAGUGUGACUAGCCCAAGGUCACCCAGCAUCUGCAUGUGGAGGAGCGGGGACGUGAACCCGGUUCACCAGAUUACGAGUCUACUGCUCUUAACCACUACACCACACUGGCUCUCCUGAGUAGACACUUUUAAUGUAGUUGUAAUGUAGAUGUGUGGCCCCUUGUCUAGAUUUUUAAGUUUAGAUCAGUGCUUGGGAAAUAGGUCUACAGGCAACUCAAUGGACCUUCCCUGUUCAGAGGCCAACUACAUGCAGAGGGGGACAGUUAACGUUGGAGGGUUGUGGUCUGCUGGAUCAGGGUAUUGGUCCAUCUAGUCUAGCAUCCUGUUCUCACAAUGGCCAACCAGUUGCCUAAUGGGAAGCCUGAAAGCAGGACCUGAGCACAACAGCACUCUCCCCUCUUGUGACUCCCAGCCAGUGGCCUUCAGAGGCAUACAAACCCACCCAGUUUAUACACAAACACACGUCCCCCAUUUAGGAAGCUCACAUACCGAAGCCACUGCGCGCAGCUGUUUCUUUCUCCCAAGGUACCUUUGGGAAAGUUCUGCUCUGUGACCUCUGCACCUGCACCAUCCCCCUAAGUGCUAAGAGUUAUGUUUAGCCUACUAAUAGCAUGUCAAGAAAUGUCUCGUCCAGCAUCUGCUAAGGCUUGCUUACCCCGCAGGGAUCUCCUCAGUGUGGUUGUCAGAGGGACACAGAUCAUUUUGUUCCCACCUGACAUGAUCAGCCUUCAAGGUUACCAACAGAUUAUUUAAAGAUGACUUGGCAUGGCCCCUUUGGUUUAUCAUGUUGGUGACAGAAUGUCAUUUCCUUUACUGCAGGGCUGGAGCGCACCUUUGUCCCAGCAUGUCGCCAUCUCUUCAGAAGCAGAGAUGGGACCCUCAAGUUCUGAAAUAGCUUCAGUCUGGAGAUUGGCUAAAACUGGCUAAUGCGAGUCUCUCUGCAGGUCUAUUUUAUUGUCAGAGAGCAUCGUCUCUAUUAAUGAAUGCCUUUUAUGGUUGGCAAACAACGCCCAUUUACAGUGAAAGAUUUCCUGGUUCUCACCCUAUUAAUAAACACACAUCUCUUUUUAA